AAAGCAAGACACCCCCUUGCUCCACCCUGAAGCAGACUGAUCAUUCUGACACAGCAUAGCCAGUUAAAAUAAUGAACAGAGAUCAAGGCUGUUUACGUUUCGAGAACAACAACAAACUUGAGACAACCAAAGGGUUUAAGUCAGAGUCCCACCAAAAAUGCACCUACCUUAAACAGCGUAGGUUUGGCUCCCAACUUUCUGAGCAGUUCUAGGAUGAGUUUGAGUGGAUCUGGGGCUCAAUAUGAAGCAAAACCCAUAGGCUCUUAGGAAGGGAGCCCAUUGCAAAACUGGUCUGCUGGUGACAAACUUCCUUACAGCCUCUCAGCCGUCCGUACUUUCAACUAGGGCUAGGAUUCAUUUAAAGGAUUUAUGUGGCUCCCCAUGAAGUAUUAAUCUAAACAACAUUGUCUUACAGAAAAUUAAUUAAUUUUCCAUCUGUUGAAAGUUAAAAAACAUUCAUUAAUCAGUGUGUUUUCUAUCUGCUCUUGACCCUCACCUGGUUUAUUUAAAAAUAAAAUACAGGCAAGUGUUUUGAUUAUCUAUUGUUGAGAAACAAUUAAUUCAAGGAAAUGAUUGCAGUGGAAGGAAAUUUAAGAUUUAAUCCUGGUAUAUUACUGGGCUACAGCCUGACUGUCCGCAGAGCAUACAAUACAACACAAGACAAUUUCAGAAGAGUGUCUUUCAGCCAAACCAUAGCCCAAAUUGCUUUGCAGAGCUAAAUAAUACAGAACUGGAUCAUUCCCUUCAGCUUCUAUGAACGCAGUCGGUCCUUGAUCUAGCACACUAUCUCCAAAAUUGCAGAAGGGGAAGGAAUUUUCUAUGAAAGACCCUGUAGCGAGGCAGUGGGAUACCCCACAGCCCUGUGGAGGGACGAGCCUCCCCUAGCACCAACGUGGGCGGAGCCAGUGGGUCCUGCGCCCGCCCGCCAGAUGUCACAGCGCACGACACGAAGUAGAAAAGCCCCGCUGCAGAGCUCACUUGAAAGCUGGCUGCCGGAGAGGCCAGGUGCCUGUGGCCUAGCUCCGGGUUGGGAAACGCCGGGCCAUCCAAGCCUACCCCUCGCCAGCUACCCCGAGGAGCAGCCGAGCCUACCCUUUGCUAGUUACCCAGAGGAACCGAUGGUGCUGGAAACUGCCGAGGACACCGGCCAAACCCAGGUACCCUACGAGGGGGAGUCCGGAAGUAGCCCGGGGGCAGCCGACCCUGGCCUGGCCGCAGCAGAGCCAGAACCAAUGUCAGUGUGUUGCGGUCAGGA